GGGAAGGUAGCUCAGUGGUAGAGUGCUUGCCUUGCAUGCAUGAGGCCCUGGGUUGAAUUCCUCAGCACCA
rfam:Dipodomys ordii contig_75939, whole genome shotgun sequence.